UACGUAUGGUGCAAGCGUUGUCCGGAAUUAUUGGGCGUAAAGAGCUCGUAGGCGGUUUGUUGCGUCGGCUGUGAAAUCCCGAGGCUCAACCUCGGGUCUGCAGUCGAUACGAGCAAACUAGAGUGUUGCAGGGGAGACUGGAAUUCCUGGUGUAGCGGUGAAAUGCGCAGAUAUCAGGAGGAACACCGGUGGCGAAGGCGGGUCUCUGGGCAACAACUGACGCUGGAGGAAGCGAAAGCGUGGGGAGCGAACAGG
rnacentral:rRNA from 1 species